rnacentral:rRNA from 1 species
AUUGAACGCUGGCGGCAGGCCUAACACAUGCAAGUCGAACGAGUGGCGGACGGGUGAGUAAUGCCUGGGAAUCUGCCCGAUGGAGGGGGAUAACUACGGGAAACUGUAGCUAAUACCGCAUACCAUAGGAUGAGCCCAAGUGGGAUUAGGUAGUAGGUGGGGUAAAGGCUCACCAAGGCGACGAUCUCUAGCUGGUCUGAGAGGAUGACCAGCCACACUGGGACUGAGACACGGCCCAGACUCCGACGGGAGGCAGCAGUGGGGAAUAUUGCGCAAUGGGGGCAACCCUGAUGCAGCCAUGCCGCGUGAAUGAAGAAGGCCUUCGGGUUGUAAAGUUCUUUCGGUAGGGAGGCGUUACCUGCAGAAGAAGCACCGGCUAACUCCGUGCCAGCAGCCGCGGUAAUUC